AGUGAACGCUGGCGGCAGGCCUAACACAUGCAAGUCGAACGGCAGCACGGUAACAGCUCUGGCUUACAGGUGCGGACUGGUGAAUGGUACAGGGAAACAUCCGCAUCCACUUUUUCGUAGGGGGUGACGUAGGGACACAUACGCCAAUAGAGCAUACGACCUACGCGUGAGAGCAGAAGACCUUCCGACCUUGCGCGAGUGAAUGAGCCGAUGGCGGAUUAGCUAGUUGGCGGGGUAAAGGCCCACCAAGGCGUCGAUCCGUAGCUGGUCUGAGAGGAUGAUCAGCCACACUGGAACUGAGACACGGUCCAGACUCCUACGGGAGGCAGCAGUGGGGAAUUUUGGACAAUGGGCGCAAGCCUGAUCCAGCCAUGCCGCGUGCGUGAUGAAGGCCUUCGGGUUGUAAAGCCCUUUUGUUCGGAAAGAAAAGCUGCUUGCUAAUACAGCGCUGUUCUGACGGUACCCUAAGAAUAAGCACCGGCUAACUUCGUG
rnacentral:rRNA from 1 species